CGAGGAUCUGGCCGAAGCGAACAGUCUGCUGCGGGAGCACCUGGAGAAAGCGAAAGAGGUGAAUUCAGCCCUCAAAGAAGAUGUUGGAAAGCUGACGGUGGAUUGGAUGAGGGCGCGGGAGGAGCUGGAAGCGAAGGAGCGCGAAUGGCGCCAGGAACGUGAGCUCUAUGAGAACUACUUCAGGGGUGACCGUGACCGUCUGCUCGGGCUGUGGCAUCAGAUGGUCACCUUCCGCCGUCAUUUCCUGGAAAUGAAGACUGCCACGAACCGAGAUUUGUCAGAGCUGAAGGCAGAGCAAACGAGGCUUUCUGGGUCUGUA